rnacentral:misc_RNA from 1 species
CUUGAAAAAAAAUGUGUAAUCAAUCAAGCUCUUCAAUUAAAAUUUUGCCUUCAAUAAACCUUCAACUUAAAAUUGUAGUUUAAAUCAAUCCAAAAUUACACGUGCCUGGCACGUGAGCAAACGGAUGUUAAAAUAAUCCAUUUGUGAGCCCAAAAGUCGUCUUCUUUCUUAUGCUUUCGCAAUGGUCUCUCCUCUCCCCCUCUUCUCUCUUGAAUUAGCAAUCACAAUUCAUGCUCUUCCUUCGCCUCAUCCUCCUCUUCCUGCUGCUACGAACUCACAAUUAUUACAUCCUUGCCAUUUUACUGUCACUAAAACUACAUUAAUCCACACCUUAGCUCUAGAAAAACUUUUCAUAAUUGAUACCAUCUCCCUCGCCAAGGAGUCUAUUUGUCCCACAACUUUUUCUUGGGUGUUCCCAAAACUCUCAUAGUGUUCAAGAUCUUAAACUCUUCAGCCCGCGCCAAGUAUUGAUCAACCAAAGCAUCGGUAACAUGGAUAUAUGGACAGCAAGCCAAUGAAUUUCUAGUAAAAAACACCUUUUGAUUAGAAAUUUAGGAAAAAAUUUACCUAAACUCAGAGGGAGUUUGGUUUGACUUUUAACUUUUAACUUAAAAUGUAUUUUUUAAGUUAUA